AUUGAACGCUGGCGGCAGGCCUAACACAUGCAAGUCGAGCGAGCGGCGGACGGGUGAGUAAUGUAUGGGGACUGCCCGAUAGAGGGGGAUAACUACUGGAAACGGUAGCUAAUACCGCAUACUAUCGGAUAACCCAGCUGGGAUUAGCUAGUAGGUGAGGUAAUGACUCACCAUGGAAACGAUCCGUAGCUGGGUUGAGAGGACGACAAGCCACACUGGGACUGAGACACUGCCCAGACUCCUACGGAGGCAGCAGUGGGGAAUUUUGGACAAUGGGGGAAACCCUGAUCCAGCCAUCCCGCGUGUAUGAUGAAGGCCUUCGGGUUGUAAAGUACUUUUGGCAGAGAAGCGGUAUCUGCAGAAUAAGCACCGGCUAACUACGUGCCAGCCGCCGCGGUAAUAC
rnacentral:rRNA from 1 species